rnacentral:rRNA from 3 species
UGCAGUCGAACGAUGAUCCGGUGCUUGCACCGGGGAUUAGUGGCGAACGGGUGAGUAACACGUGAGUAACCUGCCCUUGACUCUGGGAUAAGCCUGGGAAACCGGGUCUAAUACCGGAUACGACCUGUCACCGCAUGGUGGUUGGUGGAAAGAUUUAUUGGUUUUGGAUGGACUCGCGGCCUAUCAGCUUGUUGGUGAGGUAAUGGCUCACCAAGGCGACGACGGGUAGCCGGCCUGAGAGGGUGACCGGCCACACUGGGACUGAGACACGGCCCAGACUCCUACGGGAGGCAGCAGUGGGGAAUAUUGCACAAUGGGCGGAAGCCUGAUGCAGCGACGCCGCGUGAGGGAUGACGGCCUUCGGGUUGUAAACCUCUUUCAGCAGGGAAGAAGCGAAAGUGACGGUACCUGCAGAAGAAGCGCCGGCUAACUACGUGCCAGCAGCCGCGGUAAUACGUAGGGCGCAAGCGUUGUCCGGAAUUAUUGGGCGUAAAGAGCUCGUAGGCGGUUUGUCGCGUCUGCUGUGAAAGCCCGGGGCUCAACCCCGGGUCUGCAGUGGGUACGGGCAGACUAGAGUGCAGUAGGGGAGACUGGAAUUCCUGGUGUAGCGGUGAAAUGCGCAGAUAUCAGGAGGAACACCGAUGGCGAAGGCAGGUCUCUGGGCUGUAACUGACGCUGAGGAGCGAAAGCAUGGGGAGCGAACAGGAUUAGAUACCCUGGUAGUCCAUGCCGUAAACGUUGGGCACUAGGUGUG